UACGGAGGUGCAAGCGUUGUCCGGAAUCAUUGGGUGUAAAGGGUGCGUAGGCGGGCUAGUAAGUCUGGGGUGAAUCCCACCGCUCAACGGUGGAACUGCCUUGGAUACUGCUAGUCUUGAGUAUGUCAGAGGUCGGUGGAAUUCGUGGUGUAGCGGUGAAAUGCUUAGAUAUCACGAAGAACACCAGUGGUGAAGACGGCCGGCUGGGACAUAACUGACGCUGAGGCACGAAGCGUGGGGAGCGAACAGG
rnacentral:rRNA from 1 species